CGCGUAGGUGGGUUGGUAAGUCGGAUGUGAAAUCACUGGGCUUAACCCGGUAACUGCAUCCGAAACUGCCGGUCUUGAGUGCAGAAGAGGAGAGCGGAAUUCCCAGUGUAGCGGUGAAAUGCGUAGAUAUUGGGAGGAACACCAGUGGCGAAGGCGGCUCUCUGGUCUGCAACUGACACUGAAGCGCGAAAGCUAGGGGAGCAAACGGGAUUAGAUACCCCGGUAGUCCUAGCCGUAAACGAUGAGCACUAGGUGUAGGAGGUAUCGACCCCUCCUGUGCCGCAGCUAACGCAUUAAGUGCUCCGCCUGGGGACUACGGCCGCAAGGUUGAA
rnacentral:rRNA from 1 species